GCGCCGCUGGUCUAAAGGUUACGACAUCUGUCUGCCAAGCGGAUAAUCCGGGUUCGAUUCCCGGGCGGCGCA
rnacentral:tRNA from 1 species